GUAUCGAAAUACCCGAUUUUUUAUUUAAUAUAUUUUAAAUUAUUUAGUUAAAUAUAAUUAAAUAAAAAUAUGAAACUAAAAGUGAAAGUGCAAAAGUAACACUUUUAUUUUGCUGUACUGUUAGUCUCUGUUUAAAUUGAAUUGGACUCCGCCGAGCCGCUCCUCUCAAUCCAGAAAUCCGGCGACCCAGCGGCGCCCCUCGCCCGCCCGUCGUCGCCGUUCUCCUCGCCUCGCCAGCCCGCCAUCGCCGUUCUGCUCGCCUCGUCCGCCCGCAGUCGCCCACUCGCUCCCAGCCCCCGCAGUUCCACCGCGACCCUCGCCCAGUCGCCCUAUCGUUCCCGUCGUUCCGCCGCCGCCGAGCUUGUCGCCCUGCAGCAGCCGUGCCGCCUCCGAGCUCCAACAACGUCACACCAGUUCUUCUUCUUCUUCUUCUUCUUCUUUAAUACAAAUUUCCUAUGUCAAUGUUGAAUAAUUGAAUUUGCUGCUUUGAAUAAUUGAAUUUGGUCCUUGAAUUUCACUAUGUCAAUGUUGAAUUUCGGCUGAAUUUGCUGCCCUGCUUUGAAUUGGUUGCCAUGCCCCCUGCAUCAUUUCCUCCUUGUUAUUUGUUGGUUGUCUCUUUGUUGUUUGUUACACGUAGAGGCUCUCUAUGUAUUCGGGUAAUUUAGGGUACCGAAUACCCGAAUCGGGUAUUAGGGUACCCGAUUAAGAAAUCGGGUUCGGGGUCGGGUAUCAGUUUCCGGCCUUAUUCGGGGUUGGAUACCUCGGGUAGGGUACCCGAUCCCGACCCGAUUCCCACCCCUAGAUCUUAUACAUUUCUUCGUUUAUUGUGAAACUCACUUUUCGUCGUUCUAUGUUGGUAAACAUCAGGGAUCUGUCAAUGGCUGACUCUUCCAAGUCCUUGAAACUCCCCAACUCUACUGCUACAGGUAAUUCAACACUCCAGUUAUUCACUACAAAGAAAAACAACAACUAUGCUUAAUUUUCUUUUAAUGAAAGCUGUAAUCUUGUGAUUUUAAGGGCAACAUUUUUAGGGAGUAAAAGAUUUUUGAAAACGAGACGGGUGAUGUUAGGCUUAGGUGCAUGCGUUUGAAAGAAUGCUUCUUGAAAAAUUGGCUGAUGAGUUGCAUAUCUUCUUCCCUAGUUGAAGAGUGGGUAGAUGAUUACUUUUUUAUUUUUAAAUUUUGGGGGGCGUUUAUAUUUGAAUUUCUGAUGUCCUGAUUGCAUAAAAUUUAAAUAAAAUUGAUUUUCAUGUUUAUUGAUUGAUUUGGAAUGGUUAACUCAUUUCAGUUUGGUCUUUUUCUGACAUACGAAGAACUCAAUGCGCCAUUUGGGUGGUAAAGGCUUGUUAAAUUUUGUUGGCUGAAAAGUGGAAAAUAUUGUUUAUGAUAGUUUGAAGUUAACUCUGAUUCAUUGGACUCAUUAUUCUUAUAUAUGUGGUUGUGAUCACAGGGCACAAGAAAAUGAAAGUCAAGAUUAUACGUAUCCUACAUAUGUGUGUGUGUGCAUACAUGCAAUUGGAUAUCUCCAUGGGCGUAUUAGCAUAUUCCAUAAAC
rnacentral:lncRNA from 1 species